rnacentral:rRNA from 1 species
UCCAGACUCCUACGGGAGGCAGCAGUGGGGGAUAUUGCACAAUGGGGGAAACCCUGAUGCAGCAACGCCGCGUGAGUGAAGAAGUAUUUCGGUAUGUAAAGCUCUAUCAGCAGGGAAGAGAAUGACGGUACCUGACUAAGAAGCCCCGGCUAACUACGUGCCAGCAGCCGCGGUAAUACGUAGGGGGCGAGCGUUAUCCGGAUUUACUGGGUGUAAAGGGAGCGUAGACGGCUGGUCAAGUCUGAAGUGAAAGCCCGGGGCUUAACCCCGGAACGGCUUUGGAAACUGAGCAGCUAGAGUGCUGGAGAGGUAAGCGGAAUUCCUAGUGUAGCGGUGAAAUGCGUAGAUAUUAGGAGGAACACCAGUGGCGAAGGCGGCUUACUGGACAGUAACUGACGUUGAGGCUCGAAAGCGUGGGGAGCAAACAGGAUUAGAUACCCGCGUAAU